GGGGACGAAGGGCGAAGGGUUAAUAGCCCCUAGCCUGACGGUACCCUUCGAGGAAGCCCCGGCUAACUACGUGCCAGCAGCCGCGGUAAUACGUAGGGGGCGAGCGUUGUCCGGAAUUAUUGGGCGUAAAGAGCGUGUAGGCGGUUCGGUAAGUCUGCCGUGAAACCCUGGGGCUCAACCCCGGGCGUGCGGUGGAUACUGCCGGGCUAGAGGAUGGUAGAGGCGAGUGGAAUUCCCGGUGUAGCGGUGAAAUGCGCAGAUAUCGGGAGGAACACCAGUAGCGAAGGCGGCUCGCUGGGCCAUUCCUGACGCUGAGACGCGAAAGCUAGGGGAGCGAACAGGAUUAGAUACCCUGGUAGUCCUAGCCGUAAACGAUGAACACUAGGUGUGGGGGGAGUCGAAUCCCCCUGUGCCGCAGCCAACGCGUUAAGUGUUCCGCCUGGGGAGUACGGCCGCAAGGCUAAAACUCAAAAGAAUUGACGGGGGCCCGCACAAGCAGCGGAGCAUGUUCUUUAAUUCGAUGCAACGCGAAGAACCUUACCUGGGCUUGACAUGGCGCUGCAAGCGCACGGAAACGUGUGACCUUCGAGGGUGCACCACAGAUGCUGCAUGGCUGUCGU
rnacentral:rRNA from 1 species